rnacentral:rRNA from 1 species
GACGAACCGUCCAAACGUUAUUCGGAAUCAUUGGGCUUAAAGGGUUCGUAGGCGGUGCGGUAAGUUGGGUGUGAAAUCCCUCGGCUCAACCGGGGAAUGGCGACGAAAACUGUCGUACUCGAGGGAGACAGGGGUAAGCGGAGCUGAUGGUGGAGCGGUGAAAUGCGUUGAUAUCAUCAGGCACACCAGUGGCGAACGCGGCUUACUGGGUCUCUUCUGACGCUGAGGCACGAAAGCUAGGGGAGCAAACGGG